GGGGGGCCUUCGGGCCUCUUGCCAUCGGAUGUGCCCAGAUGGGAUUAGCUAGUAGGUGGGGUAACGGCUCACCUAGGCGACGAUCCCUAGCUGGUCUGAGAGGAUGACCAGCCACACUGGAACUGAGACACGGUCCAGACUCCUACGGGAGGCAGCAGUGGGGAAUAUUGCACAAUGGGCGCAAGCCUGAUGCAGCCAUGCCGCGUGUAUGAAGAAGGCCUUCGGGUUGUAAAGUACUUUCAGCGGGGAGGAAGGGAGUAAAGUUAAUACCUUUGCUCAUUGACGUUACCCGCAGAAGAAGCACCGGCUACCUACGUGCCAGCAGCCGCGGUAAUCCGGAGGGUGCAAGCGUUAAUCGGAAUUACUGGGCGCAAAGCGCACGCUGGCCGCUUUUA
rnacentral:rRNA from 1 species